rnacentral:misc_RNA from 1 species
AACGGUCUAUACCUGCGGUACCUGCGGAGGGAUCAUUACCGAGUUAUCAACUCCCAAACCCCUGUGAACAUACCCGAACGUUGCCUCGGCGGGACCGCCCCGGCGCCCCUAGCGGCCCGGAACCAGGCGCCCGCCGGAGGACCCAAACUCUUGCUUUAAACAGUGGCAUACUCUCUGAGUCUCACAAACAAAAAAUAAAUCAAAACUUUCAGCAACGGAUCUCUAGAUCGGAAGAGCACA